CGGCGAGCCCUCGAGUAGACUCGGUCUCGUGAAACCCGGGUUGAAUAUGGGGGGUCCACCCUCCAAGGCUGAAUACUCCUCGACGACCGAUAGUGAACCAGUAAGGCGACUGAACGAUGACAAGCACCGCGAUGAGCGGAGUGAAAGAGUACCUGAAACCGUGCGCUUACAAGCGGUCGGAGCCCUGCGGGGUGACGGCGUGCUUUUUGCAUAAUGAGCCGGCGAGUUAGUCUGUACGGCGAGCCUAAGGCCUAGCGGGCCGGAGGCGGAGCGAAAGCGAGUCUGAAUAGGGCGUUGAGUCGUACGGGCUAGACGCGAAACCUUGUGAUCAACCCUCGAGCAGGCUGAAGUGCGGGUAAAACCGCAUGGAGGGCCGAACGGGUGACCGUUGAAAAGGUCUCCGAUGACUUGAGGGGAGGAUUAAAAGUAUAAUCAAACUGGGAGAUAGCUCGUUCUCUCCGAAAUAACUUUAGGGUUAGCCUCGGGUGGCAAGCGAUGGGGGUAGAGCUACUGGAUGAGGCGUCGGGCCUAACCGGCUACGACCCUCAACCAAACUCCGAAUACCAUUGCCCAAGACCCGGGAGAUAGACGGUGAGUGACAAUAUCCAUCGUCAAAAGGAGAACAAUCCAGACCACCAGCUAAGGUCCCGAAUCUACGCUUAGUUCGAAAGGAAGUCAGAUUGCAGUGACAGCCGGGAUGUUGGCUUAGAAGCAGCCACCAUUUAAAGAGUGCGUAACAGCUCACCGGUCGAGGAGUCUGGCGCCGAUAAUGAUCGGGAAUAAGCGUGGAGCCGAAGCUGUGGGCCCAGCAAUGGGCGGUAGGAGAGCGUAGUUGCUGCCGUGAAGCGGUCCGGAAACGGGUCGUGGAGCGGUAACUAGUGCAUAUGCCGGCUUAAGUAACGAUUAACACGGUGAAAAUCCGUGUCGCCGAAUGCCUAAGGUUUCCUGGGGAAGGUAAAUCCGCCCAGGGUUAGCCGGGUCCUAAGGUGAGGCCGAAAGGCGUAGCCGAUGGAAAUCAGGUCAAUAUUCCUGAGCCAAUGCCCAAUAUGGUGACGGAUCUCCAAGAUCUGCGGGACUGCUAGAUGUCCAGGCCCUCGAGGCCGAUGCAGGUGGAGGAGGUCACGAGAAAAACCGGGCGUGCCCGUACUAAAACUGACACAGGUAGGCGAGGCGAAUAGCCUCAGGCGCUCGAGAGAACGGUCGUGAAGGAACUAGGCAAUUUAACCCCGUACGUUCGCAAGAAGGGGGCCCUCGUCGUCAGACAGGGCGCAGAGAAAAGGGUCUGGGAACUGUUUAUCAAAAACACAGCUCUGUGCUAACUCGGAAGAGGAUGUAUACAGAGUGACGCUUGCUCAAUGCCGGAAUGUCACGGAAGCGGGUCAUCGCAAGAGAAGCCCGCGACUCAAGCACCGGUGAAUAGCGGCCGUAACUAUGACGGUCCUAAGGUAGCGAAGUUCCUUGUCGGGUAAGUUCCGACGCGCAUGAAUAGCGUAAUCACUGGA
rnacentral:rRNA from 1 species